rnacentral:rRNA from 1 species
GAUGAACGCUGGCGGCGUGCCUAAUACAUGCAAGUCGAGCGAACAGACGAGGAGCUUGCUCCUCUGACGUUAGCGGCGGACGGGUGAGUAACACGUGGAUAACCUACCUAUAAGACUGGGAUAACUUCGGGAAACCGGAGCUAAUACCGGAUAAUAUAUUGAACCGCAUGGUUCAAUAGUGAAAGACGGUUUUGCUGUCACUUAUAGAUGGAUCCGCGCCGCAUUAGCUAGUUGGUAAGGUAACGGCUUACCAAGGAAACGAUGCGUAGCCGACCUGAGAGGGGGAUCGGCCACACUGGAACUGGAACACGGCCCAGACUCCUACGGGCGGCAGCAGUAGGGAAUCUUCCGCAAUGGGCGAAAGCCUGACGGAGCAACGCCGCGUGAGUGAUGAAGGUCUUCGGAUCGUAAAACUUUGUUAUUAGGGAAGAACAAAUGUGUAAGUAACUAUGCACGUCUUGACGGUACCUAAUCAGAAAGCCACGGCUAACUACGUG